GAUAUUUUUUACUAUGGAGAGUUUGAUCCUGGCUCAGGAUGAACGCUAGCGGCAGGCUUAACACAUGCAAGUCGAGGGGCAUCACGUCUUCGGAUGGUGGCGACCGGCGCACGGGUGCGUAACACGUAUACAACUUGCCCGUCAUAGGGGAAUAACCCGGAGAAAUUCGGACUAAUACCCCGUAAGUAUAGAGGGGGCAUCCUCUUUAUAUUAUAGAUUUAUUGAUGACGGAUAGGUAUGCGCAGCAUUAGGUAGUUGGUGAGGUAACGGCUCACCAAGCCGACGAUGCUUAGGGGAACUGAGAGGUUUAUCCCCCACACUGGUACUGAGACACGGACCAGACUCCUACGGGAGGCAGCAGUGAGGAAUAUUGGUCAAUGGACGAAAGUCUGAACCAGCCAUGCCGCGUGCAGGAUGACGGCUCUAUGAGUUGUAAACUGCUUUUGUAUGAGGGUAAAGUUGGGUACGUGUACCCAUUUGAAAGUAUCAUACGAAUAAGGAUCGGCUAACUCCGUGCCAGCAGCCGCGGUAAUACGGAGGAUUCAAGCGUUAUCCGGAUUUAUUGGGUUUAAAGGGUGCGUAGGCGGUUUUUUAAGUUAGUCGUUAAAUCUCUGAGCUCAACUCAGACAUGGCGAUUAAUACUGGAGAACUAGAGAUUAGUUGCAGAGGGCGGAAUGUGUAGUGUAGCGGUGAAAUGCUUAGAUAUUACACAGAACACCGAUUGCGAAGGCAGCUCUCUAAGCUACAUCUGACGCUGAGGCACGAAAGCGUGGGGAUCAAACAGGAUUAGAUACCCUGGUAGUCCACGCUGUAAACGAUGAUAACUCGUUGUCGGCGAUACACAGUCGGUGACCAAGCGAAAGCGAUAAGUUAUCCACCUGGGGAGUACGACCGCAAGGUUGAAACUCAAAGGAAUUGACGGGGGCCCGCACAAGCGGAGGAACAUGUGGUUUAAUUCGAUGAUACGCGAGGAACCUUACCCGGGCUUGAAAGUUAGUGACCGCCGAUGAAAGUUGGCUUUCCUUCGGGACACGAAACUAGGUGCUGCAUGGUUGUCGUCAGCUCGUGCCGUGAGGUGUCGGGUUAAGUCCCAUAACGAGCGCAACCCCUAUUCUUAGUUGCUAACAGGUAAUGCUGAGGACUCUAGGGAGACUGCCGGUGUAAACCGAGAGGAAGGUGGGGAUGACGUCAAAUCAGCACGGCCCUUACGUCCGGGGCGACACACGUGUUACAAUGGACGGUACAGAGGGUUGCAACACAGCGAUGUGAAGCUAAUCUCUAAAAGCCGUUCUCAGUUCGGAUCGCAGGCUGCAACUCGCCUGCGUGAAGUUGGAUUCGCUAGUAAUCGCGCAUCAGCCAUGGCGCGGUGAAUACGUUCCCGGGCCUUGUACACACCGCCCGUCAAGCCAUGGGAGUUGGGGGUGCCUGAAGUACGUGACCGCAAGGAGCGUCCUAGGGCAAAACCGAUGACUGGGGCUAAGUCGUAACAAGGUAGCCGUACCGGAAGGUGCGGCUGGAACACCUCCUUUCUGGAG
rnacentral:rRNA from 1 species